rnacentral:rRNA from 1 species
AUACAUGCAGUAGAACGCUGAAGAGAGGAGCUUGCUCUUCUUGGAUGAGUUGCGAACGGGUGAGUAACGCGUAGGUAACCUGCCUUGUAGCGGGGGAUAACUAUUGGAAACGAUAGCUAAUACCGCAUAACAAUGGAUGACACAUGUCAUUUAUUUGAAAGGGGCAAUUGCUCCACUACAAGAUGGACCUGCGUUGUAUUAGCUAGUAGGUGAGGUAAUGGCUCACCUAGGCGACGAUACAUAGCCGACCUGAGAGGGUGAUCGGCCACACUGGGACUGAGACACGGCCCAGACUCCUACGGGAGGCAGCAGUAGGGAAUCUUCGGCAAUGGGGGCAACCCUGACCGAGCAACGCCGCGUGAGUGAAGAAGGUUUUCGGAUCGUAAAGCUCUGUUGUAAGUCAAGAACGGGUGUGAGAGUGGAAAGUUCACACUGUGACGGUAGCUUACCAGAAAGGGACGGCUAACUACGUGCCAGCAGCCGCGGUAAUACGUAGGUCCCGAGCGUUGUCCGGAUUUAUUGGGCGUAAAGCGAGCGCAGGCGGUUUGAUAAGUCUGAAGUUAAAGGCUGUGGCUCAACCAUAGUUCGCUUUGGAAACUGUCAAACUUGAGUGCAGAAGGGGAGAGUGGAAUUCCAUGUGUAGCGGUGAAAUGCGUAGAUAUAUGGAGGAACACCGGUGGCGAAAGCGGCUCUCUGGUCUGUAACUGACGCUGAGGCUCGAAAGCGUGGGGAGCGAACAGGAUUAGAUACCCUGGUAGUCCACGCCGUAAACGAUGAGUGCUAGGUGUUGGAUCCUUUCCGGGAUUCAGUGCCGNAGCUAACGCAUUAAGCACUCCGCCUGGGGAGUACGACCGCAAGGUUGAAACUCAAAGGAAUUGACGGGGGCCCGCACAAGCGGUGGAGCAUGUGGUUUAAUUCGAAGCAACGCGAAGAACCUUACCAGGUCUUGACAUCCCGAUGCUAUUUCUAGAGAUAGAAAGUUACUUCGGUACAUCGGUGACGGUGCAUGGUUGUCGUCAGCUCGUGUCGUGAGAUGUUGGGUUAAGUCCCGCAACGAGCGCAACCCCUAUUGUUAGUUGCCAUCAUUCAGUUGGGCACUCUAGCGAGACUGCCGGUAAUAAACCGGAGGAAGGUGGGGAUGACGUCAAAUCAUCAUGCCCCUUAUGACCUGGGCUACACACGUGCUACAAUGGUUGGUACAACGAGUUGCGAGUCGGUGACGGCGAGCUAAUCUCUUAAAGCCAAUCUCAGUUCGGAUUGUAGGCUGCAACUCGCCUACAUGAAGUCGGAAUCGCUAGUAAUCGCGGAUCAGCACGCCGCGGUGAAUACGUUCCCGGGCCUUGUACACACCGCCCGUCACACCACGAGAGUUUGUAACACCCGAAGUCGGUGAGGUAACCUUUUGGAGCCAGCCGCCUAAG